rnacentral:lncRNA from 1 species
CUUUCUUUUUGUGCCAGCUUAGGUGAUGUAGAUUGAGUGGCCUAUAAUUUUAUUGAAAAGUAUGCGAGGAGGCUUGAGAAAUAGGAAUAUUAAUUUUUUUGUUAUUUCUUUAUUAUUUCUGUCAAAUUAAGUUUCAUUAUUAUGUCGUCAAAGUUUCUGUUAUUUAAUUAUUCUGUCUAUCACUAAUCUUAGGUAAGUUGUCUGUUUAGGGUUUACUUAGUUUACAUAUAUAUUUGUAGUGUUCUGUAGCCGCAGACAGUUUUCUGGAGUUAUUAUGUUAUCAAUAAAAACUCUCUGCAAGAGUUUUUUUUUUUUCCCGCAAUUCCUAGUCCCGAUUUCUAAGUUCGUGGAAGAUUUGUGAAUUUAUUGUGUGCAUAGAUUCUGCUUCUGUUCUUUCCGCUACAUUAGGUGGUAUCAGAGCUUUGCUGAUUUCUUUUCUUCCAUGGUGCGUAGAGGAAUUCGUGGUGGAAGGCAUGUACCAUUGGGUGAGGUGAACGAACGCGAUGAGGUGACACGUGAGGCACAACUGGAGGCACGAAUACUGCAACAGGUGGAUGAGCGAUUUGUUCAGAUGGGUCGCCGAUUUGAUGCCCUGACUGAACAACUGGCGGCUCUUAAUAUUGGAUAUCGUUGACGUCAAGUGCGAGAUGAUGAUCGCUUUGUUGGAGAAAGUGAUGAUGGGAGUGAUGGAGAAGAGGCUCAAAACCCGUUUGCUGAAUUGAGAGAAAGGAGAGCACGUCCUGUGGUUCAACAAAAUACCAGCAGGUGGGAGUCGGGUUUCAAACUGGACAUUUCAGAAUACCAUGGCUGCCUUCAACUUGAGGAGUUCCUGGAUUGGGUUGCUGCUGUGGAGGAAAUAUUGGAGUUCAAGGGGGUACUGGAUGAUCGAAGAGCUUUCUUAGUAGCCACAAGAUUUAGGGGAUGAGCCGCUGCUUGGUGGCAGCAAACUAAACAGACCCGAGUGUGCCGAGGUAAGCCGAAAAUCUGUAGUUGGGAGAAAUGUUUAAAACAUAUGAGGGCAGCAUUUUUACCCCAUAAUUAUGUGAGAAUUAUGUACCAACAACUUCAGAACCUUAGGCAAGGAACAAGAUCUGUAGUUGAAUAUACUACGGAAUUUUAUAAAUUGGUAGCAUGUGUGGACUUGGCUGAAUCUGAUGAUCAGUUAGUGCCAUGGUAUAUUGGAGGGAUGAGACUGCAAUUUCAAGAUUCCUUGAAUUUUUUCGACCCUGUGAACGUUUCUGAAGCCCAUCAGCGGGCUCUACACUUGGAGAAGACCUUAUCUCGGGGGACAUGGAGUGCUAGUGGAGUGAGCAUGGUGGUAGUACUGGAACAAAUCAAUCAGCUCUUCCAUGUACUGCAAUUACUCCGUCCUCACAGAAUAAAGGUGCAACUAAUGGCCAGUUGAGCAGGGGUGCAGCAUCGAGUUCCCAGGCACGAUGUUUUAAGUGUGGNAUGAAUCUGGAGGAGUAUGUGAGAGCUGUAGUUUGGGGAAAAUGCAUAGAGAGUCAUUUUCUAAUGAUGGUGCAUGGAGGGCAUCUGGAAAAUUGCAGCUUGUGCAUACUGAUAUUUGUGGUCCCAUGAAAACUCCAUCCUUGAGUCAUAAUUUGUAUUUUGUGCUAUUCAUUGAUGACUUUACAAGAAUGUGUUGGGUGUACUUCAUGAGAAACAAGUCAGAUGUGUUCAAUGUGUUCAAAAAAUUCAAGAAUAUGGUAGAGGCACAAUCUGGAUGUAAAAUUCAGACCUUGAGAUCGGAUAAUGGCAAGGAGUAUACAUCUACCAACUUCAAUCAAUUCUGUGAGGAUUAUGGAGUUCAUCGGCAGCUUACCAUUCCCUACACUCCGCAACAAAAUGGAGUGGCAGAAAGGAAAAAUAGAUCUGUCAUGGAGAUGGCCAGAUGUAUGCUAGCUGAGAAGGGACUUCCAAAUUCGUUUUGGGCAGAAGCAGUUUAUACUUCCGUUUAUUUGCAAAAUAGGUUGUCUACAAAAGCUGUGAAAAAUAUGACACCUAUUGAGGCAUGGUGUGGAAUGAAACCUACAGCCAAGCAUCUGAAAGUUUUUGGGUCUUUGUGCUAUGUUCAUGUCCCAGAUCAGAAAAGAAGCAAGUUGGAGCAAAAGGCUGUGAAGGGGAUCUUUAUUGGCUAUAGUUCACAGACAAAGGGCUAUAAAAUCUAUCUUCCAGAAACUGGAAAAGUUGUGAUAUCCCGUGAUGUAAAAUUUGAUGAAAGUUCUAAGUGGAAUUUUAAUGAAACCAAUACACAGCAACAGGUAGCAGUUUUUCCUCCUAUCCCAGUGGAAACUUCAACUCCAACACCAGAAGUUCAGUCUUCCGAGAUAGAAUCUAUCUCACCUACUGUAGAAAAUUCUGAAUCUUCAAGAUCUAGUUCGGCUCCUAGAGGAACCAGAUCUUUGAAUGAGAUUUAUCAGAGGUGUAAUAUGGCAGUGGUUGAACCCAGCAGUUAUGAAGAGGCACAACAACAUUCUGAAUGGGUUGAUGCAAUGGAAACUGAAAUGGAGAUGAUUCAUAAAAAUCAGACUUGGGAAUUGGUACCUCGUCCUGAUGAAAGAAAAGUGAUUGGAGUGAAGUGGAUUUACAAUGCAAAAAUGAAUCCAAAUGGCACAGUGAACAAAUACAAAGCAAGGUUAGUUGCUAGAGGAUUUGCACAAGAAAGUGGUGUUGAUUAUUUUGAGACCUUUGCACUGGUUGCAAGGUUUGACACCAUCAGAUUAUUGAUUGCACUAGCAGCACAAAAGAAGUGGAAGAUACAUCAGUUGGAUAUAAAAUUCGCAUUUCUCAAUGGUGAAUUGGAGGAGGAUGUUUUUGUUGAACAACCUGAAGGUUUCCAGUCUAGAAUCUAUCCUGAUCAUGUAUGCAAGCUGAAAAAGGCCUUGUAUGGUUUGAAACAGGCGCCAAGAGCUUGGUACAGCAAAAUAGAUGGUUAUCUAUGCGCUAAAGGAUUCAGGAGGAGUGAAAAUGAACAUAUUCUUUAUGUGAAGAGUGAUGAAAAUUCUGAUAUCUUGAUUCUAUCCAUGAAUGUGGAUGAUUUACUCAUCACAGGAAACAGUAAAAAGUAAAUUGAUUUGUUUGCUGAUAAAUUGAAGGAAGAAUUUGAGAUGACAAAUCUUGGAGAGAUGAAGUAUUUUUUGGGCAUUGAGGUUGAGCAAACAGAAAAUGGUAUUUUCAUUUCACAAAAGAAAUAUGCAAAUGAUAUCUUGAAGAGGUUCAAGAUGCAGCAGUGUAAACCAGUUGAUACACCAGUUGCGUUGAACACAAAAUUAUCCAAAGAAGAUGGAGACCAGCCAAUCAAUGAGAAGGAAUAUAGGAGUCUUGUUGGAAGUUUACUGUACUUGACAGCAACAAGACCAGAUUUGAUGUUUACGGCAAGCUUACUUUCUAGAUUCAUGAGUAAGCCAUCACAAACACAUUUUGGAGUUGCCAAAAGGGUCCUUAGGUAUAUCAAAGGAACAAUAAAUCAUGGCUUAUCUAUUUACACUUGGUUCAGGAGCAUUCUGUUGGAAUUCAAAGAAGCAAGAAGUAGUGGUACAAUCCAUAGCAGAAGCUGAAUAUAUUGCAGCAUCAUCAGCUGUAAAUCAUGCCGUUUGGUUGAGGAAAAUUCUUAAUGAUCUUGCGAAAAGUCAAGAUGAUCCUACAACUAUCAUGGUGGAUAAUCAAUCAGCCAUUGCUAUUGCAAAGAAUGCAGUUGAUCAUGGAAGAACCAAGCAUAUUAAAGUGAAGUUCCAUGCUAUCAGACAAGCUGAGAAAGAAGGAGAAGUUCAUCUUAAAAAUUGUCCAGGUGAAUCUCAAAUUGCAGAUAUGUUCACUAAAGCAUUGCCCAAAUCCAGGUUUGAAGACUUAAGAUUGAAGAUUGGAGUUUUACCCAAAAGCUUCAAGGAGGAGAAUGUUGAUUAUUAAAGACUUUUGGUUUUCUCCACAUGAUGAAAUAUGAAGAGUGUUAGAGAGGAAGAUGAAGAGUGUUGGAGAGGAAGAUGAAGAGAUGGAUGCAUUCACCAUCAUUAUUAGUCAUUAUUAUUCUUCGUAAUUGUGUGACUCUUAGUAGUCUUAUGCUAUCCUAUAAAUAGGUUUGUCAUGUACUCAAAUCAUAUAAUUCAUAUAUAUAAAAAAAAAAGUUUCUCUCAAAAUAUACUUUGUUCUGUUUUUAUUACUCAACUGAUCCGGUCUUAAUAGAAUCUAUCCUUAUUUCCGCUGCAUACUAAAAUCACAAUCAGAACAAACAAUAAAUAUAAAAUGUGAAAGAAAUAAUCAAAUUAGAUAAAGUACUAAAGUGGUGGGAAAUGUGACAUUUGUGUGGAACGUCAGGGGUUCGAAUCACUCCUCACGCAAAUAUUAAAAUGUCUUGAUUGGGCUUCCUUGACUAAAAUAAAUAUUUUUUUUCUUUAUUAUUUAAUGGGUAAAACUAGCCAGUAUUUUAUGACUGUUUGUUUUUGUAACAACCCACUAACUACCAUUAAAACACCCACUACUCAAUCAUUAAAAUUCUGCAUUAACAUGGUGAAGACUGUUACUACCAUCUUGCCUAUAUAAACCUAUAUAUCGUUUUGGGAAAAGACACACACAAAGCAAAUAGAAAAAUCAUCUUGCAUCAAUCACUCUUUUCAUAUUCUGAAUUUUUUAUAUUCGGAUUUUUAUAUCUAUUCUGGAGUACAAUUGAGAGUUCUAGAAAAACCAUUCGUGAUUGCUGCACAAGUGGUUUACGAUCGUUGUAUCCUGGGAGUGAUUGUCCACGGAGGUCACAACAAUUAUUGACGGGCAAUUUCACUUUAGGACAUCUUGCUGUCACGCGACUCGAUCGGACGAUAAGUUUUAUAUUUCUGCAUUAUAUUGUUCUGAUCACUACUGCAACUAAUUAUUUUUUCUAACAGCUUGAGAAAUAGGAAUAUUAAUUUUUCUGUUAUUUCUUUAUUAUGUCUGUCAAAUUAAGUUUCAUUAUUAUGUUGUCAAAGUUUCUGUUAUUUAAUUAUUCUGUCUAUCACUUAUUUUAGGUAAGUUGUCUGUUUAGGGUUUACUUAGUUUACAUAUAUAUUUGCAGUCUUCUGUAGCCGCAGACAGUUUUCUGCAGUUAUUAUGUUAUCAAUAAAAACUCUCUGCAGGAGUUGUUUUUGUUCCCGCAAUUCCUAGUCCCAAUUUCUAAGUUCGUGGAAGAGUUGUGAAUUUAUUGUGUGCAUAGAUUCUGCUUCUGUUCUUUCCGCUACAUUAGCUGGUAUCAGAGCUUUGCUGAUUUCUUUUCUUCCAUGGUGCGUAGAGGAAUUCGUGGUGGAAGGCAUGUACCAUUGGGUGAGGUGAACGAACGCGAUGAGGUGACAUGUGAGGCACAACUGGAGGCACGAAUACUGCAACAGGUGGAUGAGCGAUUUGUUCAGAUGGGUCGUCGAUUUGAUACCCUGACUGAACAACUGGCGGCUCUUAAUAUUGGAUAUCGUUGACGUUAAGUGCGAGAUGAUGAUCGCUUUGUUGGAGAAAGUGAUGAUCAGAGUGAUGGAGAAGAGGCUCAAAAACCCGUUUGCUGAAUUGAGAGAAAGGAGAGCACGUCCUAUGGUUCGACAAAAUACCAGGUGGGAGUCGGGUUUCAAACUGGACAUUUCAGAAUUCCAUGGCUGCCUUCAACUUGAGGAGUUCCUGGAUUGGGUUGCUGCUGUGGAGGAGAUAUUGGAGUUCAAGGGAGUACUGGAUGAUCAAAGAGCUUUCUUAGUAGCCAGAAGAUUUAGGGGAUGAGCCGCUGCUUGGUGGCAGCAAACUAAACAGACCCGAGUGCGCCGAGGUAAGCCGAAAAUCUGUAGUUGGGAGAAAUGUUUAAAACAUAUGAGGGCAGCAUUUUUACCCCAUAAUUAUGUGAGAAUUAUGUACCAACAACUUCAGAACCUUAGGCAAGGAACAAGAUCUGUAGAUGAAUAUACUACGGAAUUUUAUAAAUUGGUAGCAUGUGUGGACUUGGCUGAAUCUGAUGAUCAGUUAGUGCCAUGGUAUAUUGGAGGGAUGAGACUGCAAUUUCAAGAUUCCUUGAAUUUUUUCGACCCUGUGAACGUUUCUGAAGCUCAUCAGCGGGCUCUACACUUGGAGAAGACCUUAUCUCGGGGGACAUGGAGUGCUAGUGGAGUGAGCAUGGUGGUAGUACUGGAACAAAUCAAUCAGCUCUUCCAUGUACUGCAAUUACUCCGUCCUCACAGAAUAAAGGUGAAACUAAUGUCCAGUUGAGCAGGGGCGCAGCAUUGAGUUCCCAGGCACGAUGUUUUAAGUGUGGCGAGCAGGGUUACUGCAUGGUAGACUAAAAAAAAAGUGGUAAAUAUGGUAUGGGACUGUUCGUUAAUUCUGGAGAGUUAGCUGCUGGUAGCGUGGAAGAUGUCAAUCAGGAACCUAUUUAUGAUGUUGGGGAGGAGGAGUAUGAAGAGGAGCAGGUUGCAGGUGAUGAAGGUCCUUUGUUGGUAGUGAGGAGGACAUGUUUGGCACCUCGUAAGGAUGAAGGCGAUGAUUGGUUACGUCACAAUAUUUUCAAGUCGACUUGUACCAUUGGUGGCAAGGUUUGCAAGCUUAUCAUUGAUUUAGGUAGCUGUGUGAACGUGAUUUCUGAAGAGGCUGUUAAGAAGUUGGGAAUGGAGACGGAGAAGCAUCCUAGUCCUUACAAAUUGGCUUGGCUCAAGAAAAGGAGUGAGGUAACUAUUUCUAAACGUUGCUUAGUAUCAUUUUCUAUCGGUGCAAAGUAUAAGGACAAAAUUUGGUGUGACGUGAUAACCAUGGACGCAUGUCAUCUUUUAUUGGGUCGACCAUGGCAAUAUGAUAGGGGUGUUAUACAUGAUGGAAAGCAGAAUACAUACAGCUUUGUAUUUGACAAAGGGAAGGUUGUUUUACUACCUAAUAAGAGGGAAGAACCCUAACAUCCUUCGGGGAAGGGACAAAUUUUGUUGGCUAAGAGGGAGUUUGAGGUAGGGGACUUUGUAUGGGCUAUCCUGACGAAAGGCAGAUUUUCUGGUAGUGAUUAUAACAAACUUGCUGCUCGGAAAAUUGGACCGUUUGAAGUAAUUGAAAAGAUCAAUCCAAAUGCAUACAGGUUGAAGCUUCCAAGCCAUGUUGUGACCAGUAAUGUAUUUAACGUCAAGCACCUGGUUUCAUAUGUUGGUGAUUGGUCAAUAGAGGACUCGGAUUCGAGGGCGAAUUCUCUCCAACCCGAGGAGGAUGAUGUAGAUCGAGUGGCCUAUAAUUUUAUUGAGAAGUAUGAGAAGAGGCUUGAGAAACAGGAAUAUUAAUUUUUCUGUUAUUUCUUUAUUAUGUCUGUCAAAUUGAGUUUCGUUAUUAUGUUGUCUAAGUUUCUGUUAUUUAAUUAUUCUGUCUAUCACUUAUUUUAGGUAAGUUGUCUGUUUAGGGUUUACUUAGUUUUCAUAUAUAUUUGCAGUCUUCUGUAGCCGCAGACAGUUUUCUGGAGUUAUUAUGUUAUCAAUAAAAGCUCUCUGCAAGAGCUUUAUUUGUUCCUGCAAUUCCUAGUCCCGAUUUCUAGGUUUGUGGAAGACUUGUGAAUUUAUUGUGUGCACAGAUUCUGCUUCUGUUCUUUCCUCUGCAUCAUUAGGGAUGGUAGUUGGUUGCUAG